CAAGGUGAAACCUAAUUGGCCUGGAGAAGAGCUUGCGUCUGAUUAGCUAGUUGGUGGGGUAAGAGCCUACCAAGGCGACGAUCAGUAGCUGGUCUGAGAGGAUGAGCAGCCACGCUGGGACUGAGACACGGCCCAGACUCCUACGGGAGGCAGCAGUGGGGAAUUUUCCGCAAUGGGCGAAAGCCUGACGGAGCAACGCCGCGUGAGGGAGAAAGGUCUUUGGAUUGUAAACCUCUUUUCUCAAGGAAGAAGUUCUGACGGUACUUGAGGAAUCAGCCUCGGCUAACUCCGUGCCAGCAGCCGCGGUAAUACGGGGGAGGCAAGCGUUAUCCGGAAUUAUUGGGCGUAAAGCGUCCGCAGGUGGUCAGCCGAGUCUGCU
rnacentral:rRNA from 1 species